rnacentral:rRNA from 1 species
UGCGUAGGGUGCGAGCGUUGUCCGGAAUUAUUGGGCGUAAAGGGCUCGUAGGCGGUCUGUUGCGUCAGGAGUGAAAACUCGGGGCUUAACCCCGAGCCUGCUUCUGAUACGGGCAGACUAGAGGUAUGCAGGGGAGAACGGAAUUCCUGGUGUAGCGGUGAAAUGCGCAGAUAUCAGGAGGAACACCGGUGGCGAAGGCGGUUCUCUGGGCCGAUACUGACGCUGAGGAGCGAAAGCGUGGGGAGCGAACAGG